CACUAUGCUUAGCCGUAAACAUUGAUAGUGUUACACUCCACUAUCCGCCUGGGAACUACGAGCAAUAGCUUAAAACCCAAAGGACUUGGCGGUGCUUUACAUCCAUUUAGAGGAGCCUGUUCUAGAACCGAUAUUCCCCGUUAAACCUCACCUUUCCUAGUUUAACCCGCCUAUAUACCGCCGUCGCCAGCUUACCCUGUGAAGGUCUUAUAGUUAGCAAAGAUGACAAAUAAUCAAGAACGUCAGGUCGAGGUGUAGCGCAUGGAAAGGGAAGAAAUGGGCUACAUUCCCUAUCUUAGGGUAUACGGAUAAUACACUGAAACAUGUAUUUGAAGGAGGAUUUAAUAGUAAGUAGAAAUCAGAAUGUUCUACUGAAUCUGGCACUGAAGCGCGCACACACCGCCCGUCACUCUCCCCGAACUUAACCCACGAACCUUACCUAAACUGUUUUACAUGAAAAGGGGAGGCAAGUCGUAA
rnacentral:rRNA from 1 species